GUACUAUGAUGAUAUAUUGUGAUAAGGUCUCGUUCGUCGUAACGGCAGAUAUGCCUUGCCGACCAUCCUGAUAUAUCACCACCCAUAAACUGAGUCC